GUGCUGUUGCUGGCCCAGUGGCCUCUUGUCUCUUUCCCAUUGGCUCGUUCUGGCUAAGCAGGAGGAUGGAUGCCCACAGUUCGAUCGGCCUGGCUGCAAGAGUGAGACACUUCCAGAAAGCAAAACCAGAGUCAUGUUUGCAAAUCAUGUCUCAGUGAAGAACUGCCCAGAUGGGGAUGGCCUGUGGAUGUGUCCGUGGGGUUGAUUACUGAAAAGCUGAGCACAAAGAAGCAUCCAUGUGUUUGUUCUCUCUGCUCUUGACUGGGUGUGUUGACUGUGACUAGCUCUCCAAGUCCCUGCCUUGAUGUCCCUGCUAUGGUGAAUUGUGACCUGAA